rnacentral:rRNA from 1 species
AUGUCUGAUCAGAGUGAUAGCCAGAACAAAUCAGAAGAGCAAGUGAACAUGAGUGAGGGCACUAGUCCCUCUAGCAGCUAUGAUGAGGGCAGAAGGAGCACUCCAAGCAAUUUGCCUAAGGCAGCUACAAGAACAAGGAAGAAGAGAAACUCAGACUCAAAGGAUGAGGACUAUGUGGCUACCGAGGAGGAAGUGAGCUCCAAGGAGAAAGUGCUGAAGAAGGAAUAUGGAGCUACUGCUGCAACAAAACCUGGUAUGCACAAGAAGGCACCUGCCAAAAGAGUUCCUUGUGGCACCCCGGCUCAGAGCAACCGGUUUACCUUGCAUUGCGAGCCCAGUGAUCAUGUCUUCUGGAAACACACAACAUCUUGGUAUAGAAAAUAA